rnacentral:rRNA from 1 species
UACAGGGGGGGCAAGCGGUGUUCGGAAUUACUGGGCGUAAAGGGUUCGUAGGUGGCCAACUAAGUCAGACGUGAAAUCCCUCAGCUUAACUGGGGAACUGCGUCUGAUACUGGAUGGCUUGAGUGUAGGAGAGGAAUGCGGAAUUCCAGGUGUAGCGGUGAAAUGCGUAGAUAUCGGAAGGAACACCUGUGGCGAAAGCGGCUCACUGGACCAUUACUGACGCUGAUGCACGAAAGCUAGGGGAGCAAACAGG